ACCCUGGCCUAAACCCCCACAAGAGCAAGACUAAGGCAACAGUGGCAAGGAAAAACUCCCUGUGGCAGAUGGGAAGAAUCCUCGGAAGGAACCAGACUCAAGGGGGAAACCCACCCUCCUCUGGUCGGCUCAGGGUGCCGACUGGUGACCAGCAUGUCAGCCAGUUAACAGGAACUGAAGUUUGUACAAAAUGAAUAGCUCAAAAAAGCAAACAGGAACAAGCCAAGCCUGCGUUGCGUUAAGGAAUAAAAGACAAAAAUGAAAAAUUAUGUUCUGUGAACGGCCUUCAUAUAGAGACUGGCGGCACUGUAACAAACAUGCCACACGUAUGCAGGGCUCCAACUUGAGCCAGAAAUUCCACCACCAUAACACUAGCUGAGACUUGACCAGACCAAUCAGAUUCAAGGGAAAUGGACCUUUCCAGAUGUUCUAGAAAGAGAGAACCUGUGCUGUAAAGACUAUCCAGAAGAUGACAACUGAACUCGAUCAGUGUUUUCUUCAUCUGCGCACUCCUCAGUGGCAUCUCAAUUUAUCCAGAAACAAGCCGCUGAGAUCAUUACUUGUCUAAAUUGCUUUAGAUUAAAGAGAAGCACCUGGCUGUUGCAGACAGUGUAGUAACCACCCCUUGCCUAUAACUUGAGUUCACCUCACUGUUUUUGUAUUGCGUUAUUCAAUUCCAUAGCAGCUGGCUGUGUUUUUUUGAAUGCCCUGCACUACAUCACGCUGUUAUCCAGGCUUAAAUUACAACGGUCAGACGGGGCGGCUGCAGCUGAGCCUAAUUAUCGAGGAUUAUCCUUCCUCCCAGGCGCCCGGAGCCACGCGCCUCCUUAUCUUCAGUUCCCCAACCCCGCCUGUCUGUUACCUGUCUGGCUAUCGCCUCUCCCCUCCUACUGGAGGUAAUGCUGAGUAAACAGCUCCCCGGACUCAUUGCAAUGCAGAGGCAGUGCUGAAUCGCGGUAAGAAACUAGGAAUUUGCCAGAAAACCUCACAACUUCGGGACCUUUAUCUGCGUUCGGCUGUCAGAAUCGUGCUUUUUGUGUAAAACGCAGCGGACCGAGGGCUUCUCAGUAACGCGCAGCAAACUGCUUCCCGGUGUUUCCCGGAGCUUUAACGAGGCGGCUAACCUGAAACAAUUCUGCCGGCGAAACGAGCCCACGGAGCUCUUUUUUUCACCGCUGACGGACUCGCCACGCUCCGUCGACUGACGACCAUCAACACCCAGUCACACGAAGACGUAAGCGGCCCCGCUCGGCGAGUCGUGAGCGCUGGGUGAGGGAGAGAUGUCACGCGCUCCCCAGCUGGCGUUGAGUCACAACGCGCUCAGGCAUCACGCGCUCAGUGCCUCGCUGUUUGCUCACCGAUCAUAAACCUGGGAUGCAAGACUGAACAAUGGGAACGAUGAUUUCUUGUUAAAACGACUUUAAUAUUAACCAGAGCUCGGUCGACGCAUAAGUGUGGAUUCUGGUUAAAUGUGGCACGAAGUGCAAGAGCAACUGCUGCAGCUAGAAGCUGAUUCAAGACUCAUCACUGCACUUCUGUUUAAAACAUCUAAUAAAUGUAUUUAUGACAUUAAUAACAUUCAACAAUAAAAAAACAGCAAAAUAGUUUAAAAGCAACUUUGUAAUGUUUAAUAUUACUGAUAUUGAAUGGAUAACUGUGUGUUUAUAUUGUUAAUUCCAAUGUUUUAGGAUAUCGUUGUGCCAAAAGCCUACAUAUUUAUCUCUUUAUUUAAGGCCAAAACAAAAUAAGUCCUAAGAGUAAAGUAGCAUAUUUUGUCAACUCCAAACUCUUCAAAACAUUAGUGGAAAUUUAAUUUCAAUUUCAUCAGAAAAACUACACAUUACCCCUGUAAGUAAAAAAUAUUCUACAGUGCUUUGGUUUUCAUAACAAAAGCGGAAAGUGUCACUACAUCACAGUGCAGUAGUAGAAUGUUUCAGUUCAGCAGCAAAAUGAGUGCUUGUAGCAUCUGGCGCCUGGGUGCUUCAGAGUCCAUGGCUGAAAUCUCA